rnacentral:rRNA from 1 species
GACGUAGGGGGCAAGCGUUGUUCGGAAUACUGGCGUAAGCGUGCGCAGGCGGUUUGUUAAGUCCGCUGUGAAAUCCCCGAGCUCAACUUGGGAAUUGCAGUGGAUACUGGCAAGCUGGAGUAUGGUAGAGGAAGGUGGAAUUCCCGGUGUAGCAGUGAAAUGCGUAGAGAUCGGGAGGAACACCAGUGGCGAAGGCGGCCUUCUGGACCAAUACUGACGCUCAUGCACGAAAGCGUGGGAGCAAACAGG